rnacentral:pre_miRNA from 13 species
UGAGGCGUGAACCAAUAGCGAGGUAUAGAGUUCCUACGUGUCAUUUGCUUUCUGUAGGAACUUCAUACCGUGCUCUUGGCGAAGGUCCGCUACU